rnacentral:rRNA from 1 species
CCUACGGGGGGCAGCAGUGGGGAAUAUUGCACAAUGGGGGAAACCCUGAUGCAGCGACGCCGCGUGAGUGAAGAAGGAUUUCGGUAGGUAAAGCUCUAGCAGCAGGGAAGAAAGACUGACCUUACGGUCAGCAGACGGUACCUGACGAAGAAGCCCCGGCUCACGACGUGCCAGCCGCCGCGGUAAGACGUAGGGGGCAAGCGUUAUCCGGAUUUACUGGGGGUAAAGGGAGCGUAGACGGCCGCGCAAGUCUGAAGUGAAAUCCCAUGGCGUAACCCUGGAACUGCUUUGGAAACUGUGCAGCUGGAGUGCAGGAGAGGUAAGCGGAAUUCCUAGUGUAGCGGUGAACUGCGUAGAUAUCAGG